rnacentral:lncRNA from 1 species
AUAAAUGUAAUCACUUCUCUGAUCAUGAAAAGGGAGGUGUGUGUUGAUUUGUGGGUCUCUUACUACAACUCCUCUGUGUUUCUGUUCCUAGCGUCCCAGUGCAGUGUCCUCCGGGAAGCGUCUCUAUGCCACUGUGGUGCGUAAACACAGCAUCCUACACAGACAACCCUGCUUCUCCUUCACGGCCUUUGAGAUGGAAAGGGAUUCCCUUGACUUGCCGUCACAUGAUGCUCUCUCAAGGACACUGCCAGAGUAUCUUCCCCUCCUCAAAAAGACCAAAAACUCAGAAUCUGUCCCACAGAAAAAGUCUCAGCUCAACCAAACAUUUGAUGUUCAUUCAGCUCUCAAAAGUCCACCAAUACCUGAUUUUGAAGAUGACCCUCGUGCAGGUGAAGUCACUGAACAUCAAACUAAAGUGAGUAACAAAACUGUAGAUUUCUAUUAUGUCUAUUACUGCUAGACGUUUCCCAGAAGUCUUGUGUUUCCGCGAAAAGUUUUUCAUUCUUCAGAACCAGACUUUUAGCUACUGGCACAAAUACUGGUUCACUUUCCAUCUUCGCUCCAGAAGUUGUGAGUGAUAAAAAUGUCUUUCUAGGGCCGAACAAUAAUCUCUUAACUGAUUCACAC